GGCAACCCUGACGGAGCAACGCCGCGUGGGGGAGGAAGGUCUGUGGAUUGUAAACUCCUUUUCUCUAGGAAGAAGUUCUGACGGUACUAGAGGAAUCAGCAUCGGCUAACUCCGUGCCAGCAGCCGCGGUAAGACGGAGGAUGCAAGCGUUAUCCGGAAUAAUUGGGCGUAAAGCGUUCGUAGGUGGUUCUGUAAGUCUGCUGUUAAAGCGUGUAGCUCAACUACAUAUAGGCGGUGGAAACUACAGAACUUGAGUGCGUUCGGGGUAGAGGGAAUUCCUGGUGUAGCGGUGAAAUGCGUAGAGAUCAGGAAGAACACCGGUGGCGAAGGCGCUCUGCUGGGCCAUAACUGACGCUGAGGGACGAAAGCUGGGGGAGCG
rnacentral:rRNA from 1 species